rnacentral:rRNA from 1 species
UCCGUAGGCGGAUAAUUAAGUCAGAGGUGAAAUCCCACAGCUCAACUGUGGAACUGCCUUUGAUACUGGUUAUCUUGAGUUUUAGUGAAGUAGAUAGAAUAUGUAGUGUAGCGGUGAAAUGCUUAGAUAUUACAUAGAAUACCGAUUGCGAAGGCAGUCUACUAACUAAUAACUGACGCUAAUGGACGAAAGCGUGGGGAGCGAACAGGAUUAGAUACCCUGGUAGUCC